ACAACCAACCAAAACACAAAACAUAAGCAGAAGAGUCACACUUUUUUUUCUGGGCAGUGAAAGACGAACGUUACUGCUUUUGCGUCAUACUGAAGCUCACGUUGACCGCCAUGUUUAGGAAGAUCCAUUAGCGCAAUUUUAACGCCCAGCAACGACACACACGUUACCAGGAAGUUAGCUAAUGUGCUCAAAAAUUCGUUUUUUUCCUCCAAAACACGAGUGAACUGAUGUGACAUUUGAAAGGUGGAAGCAGCUUCGGACUUCCCGGAGUUGGAAUUAUAUUUGUUGGAAAGCCUCCGAAGCAUUGCUCUAACCGAAGUCACUGCAGGAUGCAGCAAAAAGUCAAUAAUCACGAUUUCUUCAUCAGCAUGAUUGACUUGUCUUAGACCGCCAUCUCAACCCCUUAUCCUCUCCCCACCCCUCGGCCCAUUCUUUGUCUCCUCCAGAGUCUCUAGGAGCUUGAUAUGGAGCUUAUGGGAAAAAGGAGGAAGAUCAAUCCUGGUGUCAGCAGCUCAGCACACAUCUCUCCCAGUAACGGCAGGACAAGUGUCAGCUGGAGGAGAGGCAGCCGCCAUGCAGAGAGAGAGAGAGAGAGAGAGAGAAAGAGAGAGUGAGUGAACAAAGGGGUUGAGGGGAUGGUGGUGGGUGGAUGAGAAAGAGAGCACUCUGCACGGCAGCCAAGCAAGUGAGCAAGCGAGCGGCCCAGCCCAAGGGAGUUCACCUCCAGUAGACAAAAGAUCAAUUCUCUCCAUUUCACUCUCAGCUCCUGAUAACAAGCAAAAGCUGUCUUGCCUUUGAAAUGUGCAUUCUGGUGUGCUACACACAUGCAGUUGCACAGUUACACUCUCAUACAGAUGGCAUACACACAAACCCAGUCACACACUUAAAUUUGAAGGCGAAGUGGUUUCAAGAGUGAUAAGAAAUAAUUAGGGAUGCAUUGACUGUGUAAUUCUGGGCCGAUAUUGAAAUAAAAUACACAAUUAGGCAGAUGUUUUUGUUUCUUUUGUUUUUGUUGUCAUUUCCCCCUUUUGUGCCAGUGAAAUAAAGAUUAAUUCAUCUAUUCAAGAACAUUUUUUCUUUUUAGGCAUGUGCCGAUUGGUGAGCGGAUAAUCAGCGUUUAAAGGGAUGAUUGACUAUUUGUGUUUUCCUACGCCGAUUAGAGUGACAAUUUUAGCCUACUAUCAGAACUAAGAUGUUAUAAAAAAUAAUUUUAGAGUCUGCACCCUAUUGUGAAUUUAGAGAUGUUUCUGGUGGAGUGGCAUGUUCGUCUGCUGAGCCGCAUGAGUGAAAACUUUAUUUUCCGUCUCUUUUUUCAUGAAUGUGACACAUCUCCAUUAGCCUGUGCUUACCUAAACUAUGCUCCGCACUCCAAAAGAGUAGUUAUUGUUAUGGACAUAGGCAGAGUUUGACAAUUGAGCCGGGGGGGCAAAAAAAUAAAGAAAACUCAAUGUAGCAGCUGAGAUCUGGCCUACCACUUGGGGAACACAGCACGAGCACAUAUGGACAAAACAAACAAUUAAAUUACAGUCAAACUAUUUAACAGUUCGCCCUUCUAAAAUCCAAUUGAGGCACGGCUGUCUUGGAACACAAUAAGCAGAAGGUGGUGGAAUGCCCUGACUCUUACAUUAAACUGAAAUGUAACAGUGAACAAUCAGUGUUGGACCUACAGUCUGUUGAGAUGCCUCUCCAAACGCAGAAACAAAGCACAAUCACACCAU